CCUACGGGAGGCAGCAGUGAGGAAUAUUGGUCAAUGGACGAGAGUCUGAACCAGCCAAGUAGCGUGAAGGAUGACUGCCCUAUGGGUUGUAAACUUCUUUUAUAAAGGAAUAAAACGAGGCACGUGUGCCUUUUUCCAUGUACUUUAUGAAUAAGGAUCGGCUAACUCCGUGCCAGCAGCCGCGGUAAUACGGAGGAUCCGAGCGUUAUCCGGAUUUAUGGGGUUUAAAGGGAGCGUAGAUGGGUUGUUAAGUCAGUUGUGAAAGUUUGCGGCUAAACCGUAAAAUUGCAAUUGAUACUGGCAGUCUUGAGUACAGUUGAGGUAGGCGGAAUUCGUGGUGUAGCGGUGAAAUGCUUAGAUAUCACGAAGAACCCCGAUUGCGAAGGCAGCUUACUAAACUGUGACUGACAUUGAUGCUCGAAAGUGUGGGUAUCAAACAGGAUUAGAUACCCGAGUAGUC
rnacentral:rRNA from 1 species